rnacentral:rRNA from 1 species
UGGGGAAUUUUGCGCAAUGGGGGAAACCCUGACGCAGCAACGCCGCGUGGAGGAUGAAAUCCCUUGGGAUGUAAACUCCUUUCGAUCGGGACGAUAAUGACGGUACCGGAAGAAGAAGCCCCGGCUAACUUCGUGCCAGCAGCCGCGGUAAUACGAGGGGGGCAAGCGUUGUUCGGAAUUAUUGGGCGUAAAGGGUGCGUAGGCGGUUUGACAAGUCUUAUGUGAAAUCUAUGGGCUCAACCCAUAGUCUGCAUGAGAAACUGUCGGGCUUGAGAGUGGGAGAGGUGAGUGGAAUUUCCGGUGUAGCGGUGAAAUGCGUAGAUAUCGGAAGGAACACCUGUGGCGAAAGCGGCUCACUGGACCAUUUCUGACGCUGAUGCACGAAAGCUAGGGGAGCAAAC